AGUCGUAACAAGGUUUCCGUAGGUGAACCUGCGGAAGGAUCAUUACCAAUCCAAUUUCAUCUUUUCCUGUGAACUAUUAAUAUUGUUCAAUAUUUGGGUGGAUUAAGAAAUUAACCCUUUUUUAAUUCACCCAAAUAUUAUAAUUAACAAUUCCUAUUCGUUACUAUAAUAUAAUAUUUGUUUGGGAUAAUUUUCCAAUACAAAAUAAUUAAAAAAAUUACAACUUUUAGCGGUGGAUCUCUUGGCUCAU
rnacentral:misc_RNA from 1 species